CGAGUUUCUUCCUCUCUCCCUGGCACGAGUUACUUUUUUCUCCGUGGCUGCUACUUCUGCUUCUUCCGCCGUGGCCGUUGCCACUGCCGCCGCUGCUUGCAUCGCACAAUCUCUCUGUCAUCCCUUGCGUCCUACGAGAUCCCCCCGCCGCCGCUCUCGUCGCAGGGCUCUCUCUGCCGACGCUCUCAUCGCAUCUGCUCCCUCUGGCACCUGUUCCAUCUAAUCUCAACUAGCUCUCUCAGUUCUUCUUGUAACCAUCUCAAAUUUCAGUGUUACAGCUCAAGAUCUUGUUGACACUAUGCUUCUAAAUUUGCUUCUAAAUUUCUGAUAUCUUCACUCUUAACGAUGGAUCUGUAACGCCUCUACUCAAGAGCAUGACAGUGCAUAAUAUGUAUGUUGGAGAGGGUUCAGACUUUUAAACAUUAGCCUGAAAAGAAAAUGUGCAAGUUUCAUUGAACCUUGAAAAGGGAUCGAGAUGGGGGGAGGGGCGGCGGGGGGCACCUGAUUUCUUCUACAUGGAAGCUCAGCGCCUUGGCUAUGUUGCUCGCUCUGCCUUCAAGCUGGUACAGAUACAGAAGCAGCACAAGCUCAUCAAGGCUGGCUCAUCCGUAUUGGACCUCGGCUGUGCUCCGGGUGCUUGGCUCUCCACAGGGUUCCGAAUUUUUGGUGGUGGUUUUGCUCAACAAUCACCAUUCCUAAAUGUAAUAUAAUCAAGUUUUGGCUGUUGACUUUUCAGCAAAAAGGGUUUUCUGUUAUACUUUCG